rnacentral:tRNA from 1 species
GGGGACAUAGCUCAGGUUGGGAGAGCGUCGCCUUUGCACGGCGAAGGUCAGGGGUUCGAGUCCCCUUGUCUCCA